ACGAACUAUCAGCGAACCGAAACGUUGAGAAAAUUGUUUGCUCAAGUGAUUACUUUUACUUUCACUUGAAAGCAGGAAAUUAGUUUUACGCCAUUUCUUUCAAUGGUAAGUUUCGGCCAUCCAAAAUCCCCUGAAACUAUACAGCAAAGUGUUCUUUGCAGCUUGUGUGUGUCUGUGUGAGUGGAGGACAAAUAAAAAAUGAAAUGGCUAAAGCCGAAAAAUGCCGCAGAUCCAUAAAAAGCCCGUUACAAUCUGUUAGGCUGCCUGGGUUGCCCAGGAGUGGCAGGGUUGCCACCACCACAAAUCAUGCAGCAUUCUGCUGGCAUUCUGAAUCAACAUGGAAAUGCCAUCGUUGGCCAAUGCAUGGCAUUUAAUGCGAAUGCGAAACUAAAAAUAAGUAAAUCCAAAGAAAUGCUAACUACUUCGCCCCGGCAAAACAUGCAACAUUCGAAACAUUUUUCAAGUUACCAAUCAGGAGGAGAAAUGACAUUCACAGCCCAAAUGGAUUGUGCUAACUCCAUGUUACAUUGUGCACAUUUCUAUAUGUAUGUACGAGUAUAUAUAGAUUUUUUACAAAUUAAACAGCAGUCGCCACAGCA